UUCAACUUUAGCCAGAUACAAAAUAUUGCCAUGAAUGUCUACAUAUAUUUUCUUACUGGCACGGCAAGAAAAUAAGCAUAAUAAUGAAGAUAUCAAGCUGUACUUAUUAAUACAAAGUAAACAGCCAUAAAAUAAACCACGAUAGAGCUGCCGCAUUCAGAAAUUUUCAGAUUUUCCACUUACAAUUAUGCAUAAUACGGCGCUUAUCGCAGAACCAAUUGCCCGUACAAUAAUACAUAUACACACAGAACCAUAAUCAUCUAUUAGCAAGGCAAAUCAGGGACUAUGCCAUAUAACCAAUCUGGGUGGCCAACUCGUUUCGAUCCACUUUUGCUCCAUGCUCGGUGCUCCGGCAGGUCAUAAGUGCAGCAUCAUUUCCGUUACAUAUAAAUACACUUUUCUGGUUCAAUUGCGGCUGUUGGCCAUGACUUGGCCGAGCCCGGACGGGCCUGGCCGGCAUCGAAAUCGACAUCGAUAUCGGCAUCUUCCGCACGGCAGUCAACAGUCAACGAGCGCAAUUUAAACUUGUUACGUGCUUCAAGCAUCGUCAUGUUCAGCGUAAUGAAAUGUGGAGCACAGAGAUACGGAUACAUAGAUACAGAUACCAUACACCGGCACUUCAGUAUCUGUAGCAGCAGCUAGUCAGACACGGCAGCAUUUUUCUGCCUGAUUUGAAGAUGCCGUCUCUGCCCAUCGAAGCGUGUCCUUUUAUUACUAUCCCAUAUACGAGAAGGCAGUCGAGUCAUGCUGAGUCCUGUUGUCCUUGUGUGUUUAUCACAUGAAAUUAUGAAUCUCCUCUCCUGCACUCCAACUUUGAAGCCUUUUCGUUGCCAAGAAAUUGUUUUGUCUUUCACCGCCAUUGGGGAUGAUUAGCCAUAGAGUUACGACCUUUGCAGAACAUUAAAUCAUACAUCCUUAUCCAGGA